rnacentral:rRNA from 1 species
AACGAACGCUGGCGGCAGGCCUAACACAUGCAAGUCGAACGCUCGUAGCAAUACGAGAGUGGCAGACGGGUGAGUAACACGUGGGAACCUUCCCUAUGGUUCGGAAUAGCUCAGGGAAACUUGGGGUAAUACCGGAUAAGCCCUUCGGGGGAAAGAUUUAUCGCCAUUGGAUGGGCCCGCGUAGGAUUAGCUAGUUGGUGAGGUAAAGGCUCACCAAGGCGACGAUCCUUAGCUGGUCUGAGAGGAUGAUCAGCCACACUGGGACUGAGACACGGCCCAGACUCCUACGGGAGGCAGCAGUGGGGAAUAUUGGACAAUGGGCNCAAGCCUGAUCCAGCCAUGCCGCGUGAGUGACGAAGGUCUUCGGAUUGUAAAACUCUUUUGGCGGGGACGAUAAUGACGGUACCCGCAG